rnacentral:rRNA from 1 species
AGUGAACGCUGGCGGUAGGCCCAACACAUGCAAGUCGAACGGCAGCACAAUAAGAGCUUGCUCUUACGGGUGGCGAGUGGCGGACGAGUGAGGAAUACAUCGGAAUCUACUUUUUCGUGGGGGAUAACGUAGGGAAACUUACGCUAAUACCGCAUACGACCUACGGGUGAAAGCAGGGGAUCUUCGGACCUUGCGCGAUUGAAUGAGCCGAUGUCGGAUUAGCUAGUUGGCGGGGUAAAGGCCCACCAAGGCGACGAUCCGUAGCUGGUCUGAGAGGAUGAUCAGCCACACUGGAACUGAGACACGGUCCAGACUCCUACGGGAGGCAGCAGUGGGGAAUAUUGGACAAUGGGCGCAAGCCUGAUCCAGCCAUACCGCGUGGGUGAAGAAGGCCUUCGGGUUGUAAAGCCCUUUUGUUGGGAAAGAAAAGCAGCAGGUUAAUACCCCGCUGUUCUGACGGUACCCAAAGAAUAAGCACCGGCUAACUUCGUG